GAGAUACCUGAGAGCCCAUGUGUCUCAGCUUAGCCAUCCUUAGCUUUUACCUUCCUGCUUCUUCAUUUUUAAACUUCAAGUGUGAGGGUGAGCACAGAGCAGGCCGCCUGUGACCCAGAGGCAUAACAAGCCAGCUGGCAAGAGUCACAGCAUGAGGAAUGUCACAGCUGUGGCUGGCCUCACCUUGAUUGCCCAUCUCCAGACCUCUCAAACAGGAAGAUCCCAUCUGGACGAUCCUAGGUUGUGUCAAGUCAGCAAUUAAAACCAUCACACUCCUACCAGGCCUGGCGGUGCAUUCAUUUCAUCCCAGCACUCAGGAGGCAGAGACCAAGUUUCUUCAGCAGAAAAUGGAGGCUUGUAACAGAUGCACUGUGAGGCUGAGGCUGCACAGAAAACAGCUGAAGCACAGCCCUUCGAGAGUCCCGUGGAGAACUCGAGGAACAGGGGUGUCAAACCAAACACCAGAAGAAAAACUCUGUGAGACAUUCUGUGCCCAGUCUCCCUGAAUUCUGCAAACCCACUUUCUCCGCUAGAGUGAAGGUAACCGAGUCCUGGCCGUGAAAGCUGACUGGUAAUGCCUAGAGUUCGUCGCAAGGUGGCAACAUUGUGGCGAGAAAUAGAUAUUAAAAAUCCUGG
rnacentral:lncRNA from 1 species